UACAGAGGUCUCAAGCGUUGUUCGGAUUCAUUGGGCGUAAAGGGUGUGUAGGUGGCGCGCUAAGUCGGGUGUGAAAUUUCGGAGCUUAACUCCGAAACUGCUUUUCAUACUGGCAGACUUGAGGGAUGCAGAGGUGAAUGGAAUUCCUGGUGUAGCGGUGAAAUGCGUUGAUAUCAGGAGGAACACCCAUGGCGAAGGCAGUUCACUGGGCAUCAUCUGACGCUGAGGCGCGAAAGCGUGGGUAGCAAACAGG
rnacentral:rRNA from 1 species